AGUAAUGCAUCGGAACGUACCGAGUAAUGGGGGAUAACUAUCCGAAAGGAUAGCUAAUUACCCGAUACGCUUUGAGAAGGAAAGUGGGGGCUCUUCGGACCUCACGUUAUUCGAGCGGCCGAUGUCUGAUUAGCUAGUUGGUGGGGUAAAGGCCUACCAAGGCGACGAUCAGUAGCGGGUCUGAGAGGAUGAUCCGCCACACUGGGACUGAGACACGGCCCAGACUCUACGGGAGGCAGCAGUGGGGAAUUUUGGACAAUGGGCGCAAGCCUGAUCCAGCCAUGCCGCGUGUCUGAAGAAGGGCUCGGGUUGUAAAGGACUUUUGUUAGGGAAGAAAAGGAUAGUGUUAAUACCAUUUCUGCUGACGGACCAAA
rnacentral:rRNA from 1 species